CAGCUUCCCAAGGCCUGGGAUUACAGGUAUGUACCCCUAUGCCAGGACAGGCUUUCUUGAAGAUCUGACUUUGAAGCUGAGACUUAAAGGAGGAGUUAGAUCAGGAGGAAGGAAGCAAUAGAAAGUGUGAAGGCCCUGGGAUGGGAAACAGCUGGCUCCUUUGAAAGAACUAGAGGACUUUGGAGUGGCUGGAGGAAGGAUGAUAUUGUAGAUGCAGCUGGAGAUGUGGAGUGGGUCUGGGUUAGGUGAGAUUCUUGGCCCUGGGGAGAAGGUUGGACUUCACUUAAAAUUUCCUAGUGACCAAACACUGGCAGAUUUGAUGGGAAAUUUUUAUGGUUGGCACUUUGGUAGUUUCAGAUACACAUGAGAUUCAUUUCAUUUUAUUUUGUAAUUUUAAUCACUAUGAAAAAAUAGAUGGAAGAAUUUAGUUAAAAGAAUUAAUAAGUAGGUCAACAAGGGCAGAGAAUUUAAAAGAAAGGGGGUGGGAAUUUUCUUUGUUCCAUUAUAUUAUUUUAGAAGCAUGCCCCCCCCAUCCUCUUCAAUUCAUGUUUUAGAAAAUAGCAAUCAAAAUUUGUGAACACUUUGUGAAGUAGUUGUCUUUCCAAACUUCAUUAAAAUUGCAAGGCUAUAACUGUAAGAUUUAAGAGUCUAUUUUAGAAUAAGCCAAUAUUUAGAAGGCAGUAACUGGAAUAUUCGAACUUUAUGGUAGCUAAAAGCAUGAGCUGUGGACUCAGGUCAAUAUGUUCAUAUCCAGCCUUGUCAGUCACUAGAUAUAUGACAUUGACUAUGUGUUUAACUUCUUAUCUGCAAAAUGGAGACAAUAUUAACUGUCUCAUAGAGUCAUUGUGAGGAUCUUGAAAUAAGCAAGGAUCUUGGAUUUAAGCAAAGUGAUUGGUAAAUAAAAUAGUACACAAUAAAUCACUAAUAAUACAUGGAAAUAUUAGUAGAAAUGAUCUUCUCCCUUUAAAAUAGAUCAUAUUGUCUCAUAUGCCAUUUUAUAUAACUAUGUGACAAAUAUCUGAUUGCUACAUCCACAUAUAAACAGUAGCUAAUAUUUUAAAAGUUUAGAAAACAAUCUGAAGAAUAAGAAGUUUGGAUAAGAAUGAAUAAAUAACAGAUUAAAGUUAGAAGUUAUAUGCAAAAAGACAAACAGCCAACUUUAAAUAGGUAUAUGAAUAGAAAUACCAAAGAGAAAAAGACAAGGCAGGAAAUCAUUUCACAGGUUUCAAAAUGCAAUACAGUUUUAAAAAUUGAUGUUUCAAAGCAAGAUAGAGGAGCAGGACAACUAGCACAUAUCUUUAAGGGCCAGGGGUGACACAAAUAUGUAAAGUCACCACAUGUAACAGGUUGGGAUCUGCAUAAAAGCAUUCCGAUUAAAUUAUGUAUGUAUGUAAAAAGCAGGCUGAACAGUUUACAAACCCAAGAAUAAAGUUAUAAAUAUUCAAAAUUAACAGAAAAUAGCAAUGGGAAUCCUGAACCAAUGCUUUCUGGAGCAACAUCAAGUCCUGUGGUCCUCUGUGUUAGCCAGGUCCUGUGGCCCCUGGGGAAGAUAGCCCCGCUCUGUCCUUAGCAUCUCCUGCGCUUCCUCUCCUGAGUUGGACUGGGAUUUGACUCUAAUUGAGGGUCUGGUGGGCAGGAGGGGAUAUGGGGCAGAUAAUUCCAAGGGCAAGCACAGCACAGUUCUGCAGUUUCUUCAAAUAAGGGCAUUUGAGGUUGGGUGUGAAAGGCUCAUCUUCCAACAUGGAAAUAGCUUCCACCACAGAGUGGGGAGUUUAUUCAAGGCAAUCUGAGGGCAUCAGGUUUCUUAAGAAUCUACCACAAUGUUUCAUCCCAAUUCUUGGG
rnacentral:lncRNA from 1 species